UAAUACGUAGGCAGCGAGCGUUGUUCGGAGUUACUGGGCGUAAAGGGUGUGUAGGCGGUUCUUUAAGUUUGGUGUGAAAUCUCCCGGCUCAACCGGGAGGGUGCGCCGAAUACUGAGGGACUCGAGUGCGGGAGAGGAAAGUGGAAUUCCUGGUGUAGCGGUGAAAUGCGUAGAUAUCAGGAGGAACACCGGUGGUGUAGACGGCUUUCUGGACCGAAACUGACGCUGAGACACGAAAGCGUGGGUAGCAAACAGGAUUAGAUACCCUGGUAGUCCACGCCCUAAACGAUGCAUAUUUGGUGUGGGUCAUUCAGUUGAUCCGUGCCGGAGCUAACGCGUUAAAUAUGCCGCCUGGGGAGUACAGUCGCAAGGCU
rnacentral:rRNA from 1 species